UUACUUCUAUAUAUUACCCAUAUCAUGGACGUGAUUAGAGGCUGUGGUGGCUUAUCAUCUGGAAGCUUUUACUGGGCAAAUCUACAUAUAUCUGUGUAUUUGGUCCUUGUGAUUCUGUGGUUAUGGCUUUGGCUUGAGUAUUAAUCAGAGCCUAAAAAUAGUCCUGGACUAAUCCAUCCCAAACUCUUCAACAGUCUUUUCGAUUAUAAUUUCCCUUCUGGGAAAUAUUAAAUAUUUUUAUUUAUUUUUUUUGAUAUUGAUGCUUACUUAGUGUCUAAGAGAAGAGAGUCGUGUCCAAGAGAGUUGAAUGGCGAAAAAGUAUUUGUAUAAUUGCUGAC
rnacentral:misc_RNA from 1 species